CCUACGGGAGGCAGCAGUGGGGAAUAUUGCACAAUGGGCGCAAGCCUGAUGCAGCCAUGCCGCGUGUGUGAAGAAGGCCUUCGGGUUGUAAAGCACUUUCAGCGGGGAGGAAGGCGGUGAGGUUAAUAACCUCAUCGAUUGACGUUACCCGCAGAAGAAGCACCGGCUAACUCCGUGCCAGCAGCCGCGGUAAUACGGAGGGUGCAAGCGUUAAUCGGAAUUACUGGGCGUAAAGCGCACGCAGGCGGUCUGUCAAGUCGGAUGUGAAAUCCCCGGGCUCAACCUGGGAACUGCAUUCGAAACUGGCAGGCUAGAGUCUUGUAGAGGGGGGUAGAAUUCCAGGUGUAGCGGUGAAAUGCGUAGAGAUCUGGAGGAAUACCGGUGGCGAAGGCGGCCCCCUGACAAAGACUGACGCUCAGGUGCGAAAGCGUGGGGAGCAAACAGGAUUAGAUACCGAGUAGUC
rnacentral:rRNA from 1 species